rnacentral:tRNA from 43 species
GCUUCCAUAGCUCAGUAGGUAGAGCACUUCCAUGGUAAGGAAGAGGUCAGCGGUUCGAAUCCGCUUGGGAGCU